AGAUAACAUCAAGAAAUGAUGUAAGUUCAUCAGUUUUCACGGUCAUCUCUGUAGGUGAAGGACAGGCUGCUCCAUGGCCACUUAAUGUCAGAAACAUUACUUCUCUGCCUGCUCCAUAUUAAUAAAUAUUUUGGUUAUGUUAAAGGUGAACACACUGAUACAAAUGAGAAGGCAACUCACCUUUGAGAUUUCUCCUUCAUGGCCUUCCAGUUUGGUUAUGCAUUUUCUUGUGGUU